rnacentral:rRNA from 1 species
AAUAUUGGACAAUGGGAGCAAUCCUGAUCCAGCAAUCCCGCGUGAGUGAUGAAGGCUUUCGAGUCGUAAAGCUCUUUCAGUAGGGAAGAAAAGAAAUUGACGGUACCUACAAAAGAAGCACCGGCUAACUCCGUGCCAGCAGCCGCGGUAAUACGGAGGGUGCAAGCGUUGUUCGGAAUCAUUGGGCGUAAAGAGCGUGUAGGCGGCCCAGUAAGUCUGAUGUGAAAUCCCAGGGCUCAACCCUGGAACUGCAUUGGAUACUGCUGGGCUAGAGGCCGAGAGAGGGAAGUGGAAUUCCUGGUGUAGGGGUGAAAUCCGUAGAUAUCAGGAGGAACACCGGAGGCGAAGGCGGCUUCCUGGCUCGGUUCUGACGCUGAGACGCGAAAGCGUGGGUAGCGAACGGGAUUAGAUACCCCGGUAGUCCACGCCCUA